AGUGGCGGACGGGUGAGUAACGCGUGAGUAACCUGCCUUGGAGUGGGGAAUAACAGCUGGAAACAGCUGCUAAUACCGCAUAAUAUGUCUGUGUCGCAUGGCACUGGACAUCAAAGAUUUAUCGCUCUGAGAUGGACUCGCGUCUGAUUAGCUAGUUGGUGGGGCAACGGCCCACCAAGGCGACGAUCAGUAGCCGGCCUGAGAGGGUGAACGGCCACAUUGGGACUGAGACACGGCCCAAACUCCUACGGGAGGCAGCAGUGGGGAAUAUUGCACAAUGGGGGAAACCCUGAUGCAGCGACGCCGCGUGAAGGAAGAAGUAUUUCGGUAUGUAAACUUCUAUCAGCAGGGAAGAAAAUGACGGUACCUGACUAAGAAGCCCCGGCUAACUACGUGCCAGCAGCCGCGGUAAUACGUAGGGGGCAAGCGUUAUCCGGAUUUACUGGGUGUAAAGGGAGCGUAGGCGGUUCAGCAAGUCAGAAGUGAAAGCCCGGGGCUCAACUCCGGGACUGCUUUUGAAACUGUUGAACUAGAUUGCAGGAGAGGUAAGUGGAAUUCCUAGUGUAGCGGUGAAAUGCGUAGAUAUUAGGAGGAACACCAGUGGCGAAGGCGGCUUACUGGACGAUGACUGACGCUGAGGCUCGAAAGCGUGGGGAGCAAACAGGAUUAGAUACCCUGGUAGUCCACGC
rnacentral:rRNA from 1 species